AGACCUUAGAAGAAAUCAGAACCAGUCAUGUGGACUCACUGAAAAAACAGUUAGAAGACAGAAUUAGAGAUCUGGAACGUGCACUGGGAAGGACAAAAAGCAACCAAGCAGAAAGACCUUUUCAAAAGGAAUCCACCCAGGCAGAAGUGGACAUGUACAAAGAGCUGUAUCUGGUGGAAGCCCAAAGAAGAAAAAGCCUCACCAAGAAACUGGAAAGAGCUACUGAGAGACUUGCAGAGGCCAACACCAAGCUCUUUUUGGAGCGCCACAGAAGCAGAUCUGUGGUCACAAGCAGCGCUGUCAGCGGAGUUCUGGCUGCAAGUCCACUUCUGGAUUCACCUGGCCUGGGACAUGUUGGCAUCAGUUUGGGACUGAGCAGAAGUCUGGCUCUCAGAACACCACCCAGACACCUGUGGUAAAGCCCAAGACUUCUGCUCAUCAGGACAUCCUGUGAGGGACCGUUCAGAUGGAUGGAACAAAUUGCUUCCUUUCCUUAAUUUCGACAUCCACGGCCUAGUAGCCAGUUUCCUUAAUGGUGGCCUUCAAGGUUUGGUAGCAAAGACUCCAAGAUCAGCUCUAACCCAUCCCUGCAUUGCUCAGCGACAAUGAUCCUAGUGGUGAAGGCAGCGAAACUGCUACUUAAAAUUGGAGAGGUGGUGCUGCAUUGGUCCCCUUGUUGUACGAAAGGAAUCGCUGGAGCUUUGGGGACAAGAAGUGCCAACGGCCACGACAACUGUACACAGGCAACAGUAUCGGAGGAACCGAGAUGCUGUGACCCCCAUCCAUCCAUCCAGUACAUCCAUGACAUCAUUGUGGGGGGGACACAGCAGAAGAAGUUUUCGAGAAAGGACAGAAGAUCAUCCAGAUUCUCCUCGAGGCCGGUUUUGCCAUCAAGAAGAGUAAGGUCAAGGGCCCUGCCCAAGAGAUCCAGUUCCUAGGGCUGAAAUGGCAAAUGGACGACACCAGAUACCAACAGACGUCCUCAACAAGAUUGUAGCAAUGGCUCCACCCACAAACAAGAAAGAAACCCAAGCUUUUCUGGGAGCCAUUGGCUUCUGGAGGAUGCACAUCCCAGAGUACAGCCAGAUGCUGGAGAUAAAGGUCCCUCCUGGAGCCUCUGGCCAAAGGUGCCUGGUGAGACGUGAGGGCGACCACUGGGUUUCUGGAGCCGAAGCUACAGAGGUUCUGAGGCCAAUUCCACCCCUGUGGAGAAGGAAAUCUUAGCAGCCUAUGAAGGCAUACGAGCAGCUGCAGAGCUUUCAGAUUCAGCAAUGUCCUCACUCCCGACAGACCAGGGUCCCCUUUCCAGAGUAAUGGAGGAGCACCGUGAUUUUUUAAUCCAAAAUUCCCAGAUUGGAAUGAAGUGCUCUGGAAAGGCUCUGGAAAUCAUUGGGUGUUCACAAUCAUCAAGGAAGAUGUUCACCAGGAAUUGCUAAUCACUGGCCUCCAGCUGGAUGUUGCACUCCUGAUCACCAGCCCGGCCAGCAGAUUUCAACCAGCCUGCUGUCUGCUCAUCCAGCCCAUACUUCAUGGGCUUCUCUGUGAGGGAGCCCUGUCUGUGUCCACUAGUACACACAUUCAUUUGGAUUUUAAACAAUCAAACAGAAGUGAUUGUUUUAACAGCAGAAUUAUUUUUCAAAGGGAAAUAGAAGGGUAUGGCUUUGAUGGAACGAGUGCCUUCAAGCUCCAUUGGCAGGCACUGUUUGAAAACUAUUUGGGUGAUUUUUGAUAAGAAAUGAAAGAUGCAACAGCAGGAAGCCAUUCAGCAAUCCCUGACAAGGGAGGUCCACUGUCAAUUGCUGGGAGGGCCCCCACCUGUUUCUUUUAAUGGUGCUCCCAAAUCCCACCUCUUGGGCCUCCCAUCCCAUCCUUUUUGGUCCCUCAGGCAUCUCCUCCCCAGGAUCUGCUCUGUGUCCUACCCAGGGUCCCCAAAUAUCCUCCCAUUAAUCAUUCCCAAAGCUUUUCUUUCCAUCCUUCCCCUCAGACCUUUGCCUUUCACCCAGGCCACUGCCCUGGUACCUCCCAAGACCAUUCCUUGACUCCCUCUCCACUCCCAACCAUCUCCCAGUGCCCUCGUUUUUGUCCUCCUCCAUCCUCCUCCUCCUGUCCCCACCAAGCCUCUCCCUUGCAGUGCCCAUGUCCCUACACCUGAAUUCCUUUCCCCUCCCCUGCAUCCCACACAGGGCCCCUUCAACACCCCAAUCCCAGUCCCGUGGGCUCCCCAGUUCCCCCCAGUUCAGCAUCUUUGGGUCCCCCCCAACCUCCUCCCCCCCUCCCUGCAGGCCCUGAAUUCCCCUGGCUCUCCUUGUCUCCAUCCCCACCCUGGGCC